AAAUACUCCUGACUGACCGAUAGUGAACCAGUACCGUGAGGGAAAGGCGAAAAGAACCCCGGCGAGGGGAGUGAAAAAGAACCUGAAACCGUGUACGUACAAGCAGUGGGAGCACAGGUUUACCUGUGUGACUGCGUACCUUUUGUAUAAUGGGUCAGCGACUUAUAUUCUGUAGCAAGGUUAACCGAAUAGGGGAGCCGGAGGGAAACCGAGUCUUAAUUGGGCGUUAAGUUGCAGGGUAUAGACCCGAAACCCGGUGAUCUAGCCAUGGGCAGGUUGAAGGUUGGGUAACACUAACUGGAGGACCGAACCGACUAAUGUUGAAAAAUUAGCGGAUGACCUGUGGCUGGGGGUGAAAGGCCAAUCAAACCGGGAGAUAGCUGGUUCUCCCCGAAAGCUAUUUAGGUAGCGCCUCGUGAAUUCAUCUCCGGGGGUAGAGCACUGUUUCGGCUAGGGGGCCAUCCCGGCUUACCAACCCGAUGCAAACUGCGAAUACCGGAGAAUGUUAUCACGGGAGACACACGGCGGGUGCUAACGUCCGUCGUGAAGAGGGAAACAACCCAGACCGCCAGCUAAGGUCCCAAAGUCAUGGUUAAGUGGGAAACGAUGUGGGAAGGCCCAGACAGCCAGGAUGUUGGCUUAGAAGCAGCCAUCAUUUAAAGAAAGCGUAAUAGCUCACUGGUCGAGUCGGCCUGCGCGGAAGAUGUAACGGGGCUAAACCAUGCACCGAAGCUGCGGCAGCGACGCUUAUGCGU
rnacentral:rRNA from 1 species